rnacentral:rRNA from 1 species
UCAGAUUGAACGCGUGGCGGCAGGCUUAACACAUGCAAGUCGAGCGGGGAUAGGGUGCUUGCACCUGAUUCCUAGCGGCGGACGGGUGAGUAAUGCUUAGGAAUCUGCCUAUUAUGGGGGACAACGUUCCGAAAGGGACGCUAAUACCGCAUACGUCCUACGGGAGAAAGCAGGGGAUCUUCGGACCUUGCGCUAAUAGAUGAGCCUAAGUCGGAUUAGCUAGUUGGUGGGGUAAAGGCCUACCAAGGCGACGAUCUGUAGCGGGUCUGAGAGGAUGAUCCGCCACACUGGGACUGAGACACGGCCCAGACUCCUACGGGAGGCAGCAGUGGGGAAUAUUGGACAAUGGGGGGAACCCUGAUCCAGCCAUGCCGCGUGUGUGAAGAAGGCCUUUUGGUUGUAAAGCACUUUAAGCGAGGAGGAGGCUUACCUGGUUAAUACCUGGGAUAAGUGGACGUUACUCGCAGAAUAAGCACCGGCUAACUCUGUGCCAGCAGCCGC